UAUUGAAAAAAUCAUCCAUUUCUACUGUUGAAAACUGGUGUGGUUGGCAGAAUAACCAUAUAGUUACACAUAAUGUGCAGCGUGUACCUCAUGAUGACGUGACCAUUUUUUAACAGUAGAAAUAGAUGAAAAUUUUAAAG
rfam:Gossypium raimondii Chr10_contig_49, whole genome shotgun sequence.